AGCUAUUAUGGCGGCUGUAGUGGCAUUGUUCAUGUAUGUUGAAGAAAUAUUUCGUUGUAGGCGCUUACCUUCGAAGUUUUAAAGUUAGCAGAUUGCACGGCAACUGAUUGGUGGAGCUGCGCGGUUUUGACGCACAAGAUGCUGUCAAGAGCUAUGCCUUUUGGAGCAGAAGGAGAGAUCAACCAGCAGAUGAUAUUUGAGACACCACGUGGGUUGACAUCAGGGCAAAGGCGAUAUUUCUGCCAUAUUUCCUGCUUCUCGAUGACAACAUUGUCGAUGAUGAUGAUGAAGACCAGUCUGGCGUGGAUGCUCACCCUCAGUUACUAGGCACUCAGCCUCACUUUCAAGUUUCUCAUUUGUUUCACCUCCUCUGGAUGAAAUCCGCAAGCAGCGCCCAACCACAGUGAUAACAACCUCCAUUGCUUUUUAAGCUUGUAUCUGAUAGAUGCAUUGCAAAUUAUAAAGUUA